AUUGAACGCUGGCGGCAGGCCUAACACAUGCAAGUCGAACGAGUGGCGGACGGGUGAGUAAUGUCUGGGAAACUGCCUGAUGGAGGGGGAUAACUACUGGAAACGGUAGCUAAUACCGCAUACCAUCAGAUGUGCCCAGAUGGGAGUAGAUAGUAGGUGGGGUAAGGGCUCACCUAGGCGACGAUCCCUAGCUGGUCUGAGAGGAGGACCAGCCCACCUGGAACUGAGAGCCGUUCCAGACUCUUACGGGAGUCAGCAGUGGGGAAUAUUGAACAAUGGUCGCAAGCCUGAUGCAGCCAUGCCGCGUGUGUGAAGAAGGCCUUCGGGUUGUAAAGCACUUUCAGCGAGGAGGCGUUACUCGCAGAAGAAGCACCGGCUAACUCCGUGCCAGCAGCCGCGGUAAUAC
rnacentral:rRNA from 1 species